rnacentral:rRNA from 1 species
GAUGAACGCUGGCGGCGUGCCUAAUACAUGCAAGUCGAGCGAACAGACGAGGAGCUUGCUCCUCUGACGUUAGCGGCGGACGGGUGAGUAACACGUGGAUAACCUACCUAUAAGACUGGGAUAACUUCGGGAAACCGGAGCUAAUACCGGAUAAUAUAUUGAACCGCAUGGUUCAAUAGUGAAAGACGGUUUUGCUGUCACUUAUAGAUGGAUCCGCGCCGCAUUAGCUAGUUGGUAAGGUAACGGCUUACCAAGGCGACGAUGCGUAGCCGACCUGAGAGGAUGAUCGGCCACACUGGAACUGAGACACGGUCCAGACUCCUACGGGAGGCAGCAGUAGGGAAUCUUCCGCAAUGGGCGAAAGCCUGAUGGAGCAACGCCGCGUGAGUGAUGAAGGUCUUCGGAUCGUAAAACUCUGUUAUUAGGGAAGAACAAAUGUGUAAGUAAAUAUGCACGUCUUGACGGUACCUAAUCAGAAAGCAACGGCUAACUACGUG